UACAAAACAGAUCCAAAUGGACUGAGCUGGAGGGGGCGGGACGGACGCUAGUGACAGGAAACAACUGGGACACACACACACUGGCUCCAGAUGGUUCGGUGACCCCAGUGCUGGAAGGAAUGCGUUCGCUACGAGAAGAACUUGCAGAGAACUCUGAAGUGGACACUAAUAUGUUUGACUGGUCUGAUUCUGUAUUUGCUAAAUAAAAAGCCUUAGUGAUGCCCAUA